rnacentral:rRNA from 1 species
UACGUAGGGGGCUAGCGUUGUCCGGAAUCAUUGGGCGUAAAGAGCGUGUAGGCGGCCCGGUAAGUCCGCUGUAAAAGUCAAAGGCUCAACCUUUGAAUGUCAGUGGAUACUGCCGGGCUAGAGUCCGGAAGAGGCGAGUGGAACUCCCGGUGUAGCGGUGGAAUGCGCAGAUAUCAGGAAGAACACCAACGGCGAAGGCAGCUCGCUGGGACGGUACUGACGCUGAGACGCGAAAGCGUGGGGAGCGAACAGG